rnacentral:rRNA from 1 species
GAUGAACGCUGGCGGCGUGCUUAACACAUGCAAGUCGAACGGGAAACCUUUUAUUGAAGCUUCGGCAGAUUUAGCUGGUUUCUAGUGGCGGACGGGUGAGUAACGCGUGGGUAACCUGCCUUAUACAGGGGGAUAACAACAAGAAAUGGUUGCUAAUACCGCAUAAGCGCACAGGACCGCAUGGUUCGGUGUGAAAAACUCCGGUGGUAUAAGAUGGACCCGCGUUGGAUUAGCUAGUUGGCAGGGUAACGGCCUACCAAGGCGACGAUCCAUAGCCGGCCUGAGAGGGUGAACGGCGACAUUGAGACUGGGACACGGCCCAGACUCCUACGGGAGGCAGCAGUGGGGAAUAUUGCACAAUGGGGGAAACCCUGAUGCAGCGACGCCGCGUGAAGGAAGAAGUAUCUCGGUAUGUAAACUUCUAUCAGCAGGGAAGAUAGUGACGGUACCUGACUAAGAAGCCCCGGCUAACUACGU